CCCUGGCUCAGGACGAACGCUGGCGGCGUGCCUAAUACAUGCAAGUCGAGCGGACUUGUAGGAGCUUGCUCCUGCAGGUUAGCGGCGGACGGGUGAGUAACACGUGGGCAACCUACCUAUAAGACUGGGAUAACUUCGGGAAACCGGAGCUAAUACCGGAUGACACAAAGGAACUCCUGUUCCUUUGUUGAAAGAUGGCUUCGGCUAUCACUUAUAGAUGGGCCCGCGGCGCAUUAGCUAGUUGGUGAGGUAACGGCUCACCAAGGCGACGAUGCGUAGCCGACCUGAGAGGGUGAUCGGCCACACUGGGACUGAGACACGGCCCAGACUCCUACGGGAGGCAGCAGUAGGGAAUCUUCCGCAAUGGACGAAAGUCUGACGGAGCAACGCCGCGUGAACGAUGAAGGCCUUCGGGUCGUAAAGUUCUGUUGUUAGGGAAGAACAAGUGCUAGUUGAAUAAGCUGGCACCUUGACGGUACCUAACCAGAAAGCCACGGCUAACUA
rnacentral:rRNA from 1 species